rnacentral:rRNA from 1 species
AUGGGAGGCAGCAGUGGGGAAUUUUGGACAAUGGGGGCAACCCUGAUCCAGCCAUGCCGCGUGCAGGAAGAAGGUCUUCGGAUUGUAAACUGCUUUUGUAAGGGACGAAAAGGCUGACAAUAACACUGUCAGCUGCUGACGGUACCUUAAGAAUAAGCACCGGCUAACUACGUGCCAGCAGCCGCGGUAAUACGUAGGGUGCAAGCGUUAAUCGGAAUUACUGGGCGUAAAGCGUGCGCAGGCGGUUGGAUAAGACAGGUGUGAAAUCCCCGGGCUUAACCUGGGGACUGCAUUUGUGACUGUCCGACUAGAGUGUGUCAGGGGGGGGUGGAAUUCCAAGUGUAGCAGUGAAAUGCGUAGAUAUUUGGAAGAACACCGAUGGCGAAGGCAGGCCGCUGGGGGAAAACUGACGCUCAUGCACGAAGGCGUGGGGAGCAAACAGGAUUAGAUACCCUGGUA